GGCCCGUUGGUCAAGUGGUUAAGACACCGCCCUUUCACGGCGGUAACACGGCUUCGAAUCCUGUACGGGUCA
rnacentral:tRNA from 1 species